UUAUCAAAGCUAAAGUCCACCUGAGUCAGCGGCACGAUGACUGCUCAUGAAACACAACAGGAUUUUUCAGGAUUUGGUUUAUUGUAAAGAGGAACUCCUUGUUUGACUACAAAUUCACUGUUGCCUGACUUGCUGACCCCUCAUAAUAGACUCAAAGUGGUCCGGGCUCGAGUCCCCCUUAGGCCACCAUGUGGAUUAUGCGACAUCGACUAACGUGAGAUUUUCUUUUUCCUUUUUCAUUUCGUUCGCCAUUACACAGGACUGCUCACCGUUGGUUUCUCUCCGAUCUGAAUUCAAACAUGACCCUAACAUCUUGUCCCGACAGUCACGGGGAAACUCCUGAAAACCUCGUUCUGGAAGGUCCGGCGGUGGCUGAUGGCGACAGGGACUCGGAAGACGGGACAUCAUCUGCUGUGAAAGUCCAUAACUUUCAGAGUGACACCACGGUGAAGAUUCCCA